GAACAUGUGACCUUCCUGCUCACAACAUAAAACUCAGCUUUCUGUGGCCUCUAUAGUUUGGCUCAGCACCUAUAUCCCAUCCAAGACAAAGGCACCACUUCAACAACAGGUGUGAACUGGAACAUCAAGAAUGAAAAUGAAACAGCCCAUAUCCAGCUUAAGGACUGACUCAUCCAUCAAUCCUGGAAAACAGUAUUUAUAAUAAUCUUUGAAAUCAGUGCACUAGGACUACUUUGCCCCUUUCAUAGCUCUUUUCCAGUGUUUUUUGGGGUAUAUGAGGUUAGAUAGGGCAAUUGAGAGGCUAUGGAUUCCUCUUUUCUUACAGCAGGUGAUAAGCAGAGAUGGUGACAUGAAAACUAAAACCAAUAACCCAUUAUUCCUUUCUCUUUUAAUCACUUUCCUUGGCUUUUACUAGCUCCAGAGUUUGAAAUGAGGUCUCUUUAAGCACCCUUAUAAAAAGCUCUAGAAGUCUCAUCCAACAUUUUCUAAGCACCUUGAGAUGUAAGACUUCUGUCUUCAUUUCUUAAAAAGACAAUUGAAGCCUAAGAAAACUUUCGACCUGGGUAGGUCAAAAUUUGAUACUGUCAUGCAUUUUGAGUAACAGGAUCAUGAUGCUAAACAAAAUAUCAAGUAAAUUGAGAUGGCUCGGCUCUUCUGGCAGCUGCCCUGCUUACUACUAGUUCAAACAACCUAAUGCUGCCCUGCAAAAUCCACUGCCUGUUUUGCUCUUUGUUGCUGUUCCUCUCUCCCUUUUCCAGGGAAAUAUAAGAAGCAGACAAGAAAAAGUGGUGGGGUAGACAGCCAAGGGACACAAUGAGCUGAUGGAUGAUAUAACUCCCAAACUGUAAACAACUUAUUUUUUGACCUUUUGCAAGUCUUUCCCUAAACAUCAGAUUUCAUUUUCUCAUUUAUAAUCUUGAAUGGGUAUAACUCGAUGACUUAUAAGGACAUUUUAAUAGUAUUAAUUCAUUACUAUUUAUGAGAAAAGGCAACCAAGUCAGACAAAGCCGGCUAAGGCCACAAGAAAUUGCUGUUUCAAUUCUGUUAAAUAAAUUAUCAAUCUUUUCCCCUGUUAGUAUGUAUCUUAUUUGUUUAUUUUAAUUUUAAAGCACAUUUUAGUCACUUUUCUUUAUGUACAGGGGAUCAAAUACAGAGUAUUGUACAUGUUAGGUAAGUGUUCUGCCACUGAGUUUUUUCUCUAGACCUUGAUUGUUUUCUUUUUUGUUUGACAAAGUAUCAUAUUACAUAGCACAAAUUGACUUUAAAUCUGAGGUUCUCCUACCUCUGUCUAUGAAAGCGUGUGUACAUACAUGUAUUAUCAUACCUGGCUAUAGCCACAAUUUUGAGCAUUUGUUAGGUGACAAAUACUAAAUUAAUGGCUUUAUAUGCAUUAUUACAUAUUCUCACCAUGAUUUCAUGCACAUUUUUGUUUCAGGGACAUGAACUUAUUUAUUUAAGGUGUUCAGCUAGUAAUGGUAGAGGUAGAAUUCAAGUCCAGUUUUAAAAAUCAACAUCUAGGUACAUAACCAGGAUAAACAUAGCGUAAAAGAAGGAACACUGAUAUUGUCUCCGAGGUUUUUCAUAUCAUGUAGGCAGAAUGAUGAGAACAUUUUCCUGUUUCAACUGAAUAGAAGAGUUAACUGAGGUUUGGGCCACUAGAAUCUCCAGACAAACACGCAGGAUCCCUGUUUUGGUUUGGAGUCUUAGCCUGUUUUGUUCACUUCCCUCUUUUGGUGUAUUAGCCAGUCAUGUUAGUGUCUGCCAUUUGUCUCACACUCAGGAUAAGACAUAAUCACCCUAUUUUUUUUCUCUUUCCAGGUGCAUGUUCUUGCUGCCCAGUGGAGGCUCCUGAUCUGGCCUUUUGCAGUGUCACGCUCCGUGUAUUUGACAAGCUGAGUUGGACACUCUGUGUGGUAGAGUGUCAGUUUGUCAAAUACCCCAAGUGUGGCUCAUGCCUAUCAGCUCCAGGUCCAGGACAAAAAAAAUAGUCUGCUGGCUAUAUAUGAAUGCUUAUGAAACAUGAAGCUCUCUGGAGUGAUUCUAUGGCUUUGAGGGAACUGUAGCAUUUAUUCAGAGGACAUCAGAGUAGUAGCUCUGGGGCCUACAAGUACAGUAUGCAUCUGUGUACAUUGUGAAAAUGGCAUGGACUACACAGUGGUCUUGAAAAUACAUAAGGGAUACUGAGAAUGAGCGUAUUAUUUGAUUUAUUAUUAAUGUCUUUUACAUUCCUCUUCUUGCAGCCAGGACAGUAGAAUUUUCAUACAAUCAUCAUGAAUUCUGUGAGAAAGUAGGAAACAAAUAUCCACUGUCUGGCCUUCUGAGCACAUCUUAACCUUACCUACAUUUUCUCUUUUCCUCUUUGCUUUUAGUCUCCUUAAACAACCUUAUUUCUCUUCCCUGGACUUUCAGACCCUACCAAAUUCCAAUUUAUCUUGGCACUAUUAAAAGUUAACCUACAUUUUUCUUUGCUCCUUGGAUAACCACAUACUGGUAUGUGCUCUUAUAUAUCUUAUCAUUAAAUAUGUCUUCUAAAGUUGUUAGUGAAUUUUUCCAGGGUAUGUUCUUGAAUUUCUUAUUAUACUGUAAGAGUCUAGACCUUAUUAUACUUGUUUGAUUGCUAUCUCUCCUACCAUUGUCCAAAAUUUUAAUUAUUUAAUAAAUUUUUACCAAUUAAUUGAUGUUUUACUAGUCCAUAACCUUUUACUAUAUAGAUCACAUACCAACCAGGGUUUGAGGAAAAAAGAAAUCAAACUGUGGCUAUUCCGAUGCUAUGUGUAUACAAGAAGGUAACCAAAAUUGAUUUGUUUUUUCAUUACGAAAUAAGAUUUAGGUCUGGGGCAGGAGGGUAAAAAGAAAAAAAUAGACUUAAAGGGAAAUAAAUUUUGGAAUUAUUUAUUUACACAGGUCUUUUUAAACAGAAUUUUCUGAGCCUUUAAUAUUCUAAUGCUGCACUAGGGUGAACUUCUAAUACAGAACUAUAGAAUGAAGCAUCUCCAACAUCUCUCUCAAGAGUCUAAUAUUUCAUAACAUAUAUUUUGGCAAGCUUCUUUAGAGAAAUUCCAUACUCUCCCUUGGUUCUGGAGAUACCUACUUUCAUUCUUUAACUUUUCACUCACUAACCAGUGACCUAAAUGACAAGACCCAUAUUGUCACCCCAGUUUUGCUCAGAAUUUUCCGAGGGAUGCAUCUCUAUCUAGGGAUGACUUACUGGCUUACCCUGCAUGGAAAAACAUCAUACAUUAGGGACAAAGACCAUCUUCAGAAGAUGUCUGCAGCAAAGUACACACACUACUAAAAAUCCGUGGGUCUGACUUCCAGUCUUUGUUCUGCCAUUGACUUGAUGUAUGUCACUUUUGACAAGCCUUCAUUUCUCUCUGGGCUUCACUUCCCAAUUUGUGGUAUGUGACUGUUCAGAUAAGUAAUCUGUAAACAUUUUCACAUGCAAGAAUAGGAGACAUUCUUGGUGGUUCCACUGUAGGGGGUCCCCUGAAUUUGUGAUUCACUUUAUUUGGGCAAUUUCAAUAAACAUUCUUUCCUCAAGCCCAGGGAUUAAUUCUAAAGAGCAGAAUAAGAUAAAUGGCGCUUUCACGCUUGCAGGGCUGCACUCACAGUUGUUUCAUGAAGGAAGCUGAGGUUUCUACUGGGUGGGACCCAGGUGGUGGAGGCUUGUAAGUGAGAUGGAGAAGAAGUCUUCUCUGUCACUAAUUAUGCGUAGCUAGCAUUUGUCAAAGAAGAAAAUGCUGAGGUUUUUGAUCAUUUGGCAGCAUCAGUGGGGGUGAAAUAGGGAGGACUGUCAAUCACUUUUGUGUACUAUUUUGACUUUUACAUUUAUCUCAAAGUGGGAGUGUCUCUUGUUGAAACCUGAUCUGAUCCUGUGCAUAUACAGAAUACAUAGGCAACAUGGUAGUUCUCAUGAAAAGUAAGGAAGUUGAUUUGACAUGAAAUACGUGGGGGAAAGGAAGCAAUGCAAACCUGGCCCCAAUUUCUUUAUAAGGGAGUUUCAUUCUAAAGUACAUAAAGAGUUCCUUCUCUCCUUUCUCCUACUCUCCUGUUCCCUUUACUUUUCUUCAUUUUCUCCAAUUCCUUCAAUUAACAAAAAACAAUCUCUUACUCUUAACCCUCUUCACAUUGUAAAAAUAAUUGAGGGGUUAGAGAAGAUGACCAAUGCAACUAAUCCAAAUAUUUUAGUGGUACUAUACACACAGACUUUGUAAAGACAGAAACUACUUCAUAUGUACAUUGAUA